rnacentral:tRNA from 1 species
CACUAGAAAGCUAAACGGACAAGCAUUAGCCUUUUAAGCUAAAGACUGGUGGCCCCAAACCACCUCUAGUGAC